CAAAUAGGAUGGAGCAUGGCCCUGGCCUAACCUGGGGUGGUGGAAGUCAGAGUUCCCCGUUUAUUAUCCGGGUCCAGACCAGCCCAAGCUUCCCAACAGUACUGUGGGCUGGAGGGGACCUGGGUAAAGUGCUCCACAUUGUGAAGUGAGACCUUGACAUCUCUUCUCGCAGAAAAACUCAACUGGGUGCUUCAGUUCUAUUAUUAACAGUUCUGCGACCUGCUCCAGGGGACUGGAACUCAGACCCUAAAUCACCUCCCUGCUGCUCCAUGGAAAGCCCUGUGUGGCAAGGCAGUGAGGCCCUCAGGCCAACAGUCCGCUAUGACCUGAAUCCUGCCAACAACUGCAGAAUGAGCUAGGAUCGGAUCCUGUCCCUGCUGAACCAUGAGAUCACAGUGACCCUGGCCAACACCUUGAUUGCAGCCUUGAGGGACCCUGAGCGAAAGAGCUAAGCCACAUCCAGAUGCUUGACCCACAGAAACUGAGGGAUGAGAAAAAUGGAGUGACUUGCUACAUACAGCUGAUGAAAGCCACUAAGUAUAAUGCAUUAUCCUGAACUGGAUCCUGGAACUGGAAAAAAAAAAAAAAGACUAAGAAAGACAUUGUUUAG